CGGUGCGUCAAGUUGGGGCUGGGCAGUGUCAGUCGGGCAGGGCUGGGAAGGGCGCGGGCACGGGCAUGGGCCAUGGGCACGGGCUGGGAUUGGGCCAAGGGGGCCGGGACUUGGGGCCAGGCAUGACCCCUGCCUUCCUGGGCCAAGAUACUCAGGUGCAUGGGUCAAGCCAGCAAAUCAAGUGGGUCUGGAGGAGAAGGCCAUAGGCCAAGGUCACAGCAUGGAGGCAGAGGUGCAACUCGCCGAACAGCACCUGGCAUAUUCCAGCUCCCAUUAGAGGCCUCUUGUCAUGACUUUCCCCAUACAGUGGAGCAAUGAAACACUCACCUUCAUCCUGGCAUGCGACAGCCGUUUAGGAUGGCCCAUCUCACUUGCUCCUUUGCCAUGGUGCCCCAGGCCUUCCACAAGUCAGAAAUGUUCCUGGCUCUCCCACAGGAUCUGGCACCACAUGGAACUGGCUCUUCCCCAAAGUCGAAAUGACGGUGGGAGAGAAUGAUUCAGGACAUGCAGGCAGCCGUGAAGGUGCCACUAAAGACCCACACGAAAGAGGACUUCCUGAGCUGCUGCAGAACCUGGCAAGAAUGAUAGUAUGAGAGUGUGUGAAUUGAGGAGUAUUUUUAGGAGGAUUAAUGGCAAUGUGUCUUUUACCCUAAUAAAUUUUUUUUGUCCCUAACACAUUUUUUUUAAAAUUUAAAUAGUCAC
rnacentral:lncRNA from 1 species